AAUGAACGUUGGCGGCAUGGAUUAGGCAUGCAAGUCGAGCGAGAAGAGUUUUGAAGCUUGCUUUAGAACUCGGACAGCGGCGAAAGGGAGAGUAACGCGUAGUUAUGUGCCCUAGGGUCCGGAAUAGCCACGGGAAACUGUGGGUAAUGCCGGAUAAUAUCCCCGGAUCAAAGGUGUGAUUCCGCCCUAGGAGCAGACUGCGUCCUACUAGCUAGUUGGUGGGGUAAUGGCCUACCAAGGCAACGAUGGGUAGCGGGUGUGAGAGCAUGACCCGUCUCACUGGGACUGAGACACUGCCCAGACACCUACGGGUGGCUGCAGUCGAGAAUCUUCGGCAAUGGGCGAAAGCCUGACCGAGCGAUGCCGCGUGCGGGAUGAAGGCCCUCGGGUUGUAAACCGCUGUCGUAGGGGAGGAAGGUUCCGUGAAGAGCGGAAUUUGACCUAUCCUAGGAGGAGGUACGGGCUAAGUUCGUGCCAGCAGCCGCGGUAA
rnacentral:rRNA from 1 species